AUCCGUUACUAGUUUCUUGAGUAUAAUCCAAGAAACACUGAGGAAGUUUGAUGAUACAGUGAUGGUCAACUACAAUCAAACAAAAGAUUGGAAACAUGAAUUGUCCAUCAUUUCUCUGGAGCUGCUCAUCAGACCUUGUAAUCAACAGAAAUGUAUGCAAACGCUGGAGGGUCCAGGGAACAGCCUGUGAAGGUCCUCUGGGCGGACAUUUACUAGAUUGGAAACUGUCACCAAGAAGGCCUUUUCAUCAUUUUAUAGGUAUGGAUGAUUUAAAUGUGUUUUAAGUGUUUUUAACCUAUGUUUCAUAUUUGUUUUAUUGUUUUAUGUUUUUAGUUAUCUAUUGUAUUUAAA